rnacentral:rRNA from 1 species
CCUACGGGGGGCAGCAGUGGGGAAUAUUGCACAAUGAGGGAAACCCUGAUGCAGCGACGCCGCGUGAGUGAUGAAGUAUUUCGGUAUGUAAAGCUCUAUCAGCAGGGAAGAAAAUGACGGUACCUGAUUAAGAAGACCCGGCUAACUACGUGCCAGCAGCCGGGGUAAUACGUAGGGGGGAAGCGUUAUCCGGAUUUACUGGGGGGAAAGGGAGCGUAGACGGUAGCGCAAGUCUGGUGGGAAAUGCCGGGGGUUAACCCCGGGACUGCUUUGGAAACUGUGCAGCUAGAGUGAAGGAGAGGUAAGUGGAAUUCCUAGUGUAGCGGUGAAAUGCGUAGAUAUUAGGAAGAACACCAGUGGCGAAGGCGGCUUACUGGACUGUAACUGACGUUGAGGCUCGAAAGCGUGGGGAGCAAACAGGAUUAGAUACCCUAGUAGUC